CAGUCGCCACGGUAAUACGAAGGGGGCUAGCGUUGUUCGGAAUUACUGGGCGUAAAGGGCGCGUAGGCGGCCAUUCAAGUUAGAUGUGAAAGCCCUGGGCUCAACCUAGGAAUUGCAUUUGAUACUGAUUGGCUAGAGUUUGGGAGAGGUGAGUGGAAUUCCCAGUGUAGAGGUGAAAUUCGUAGAUAUUGGGAAGAACACCAGUGGCGAAGGCGGCUCACUGGACCGACACUGACGCUGAGGCGCGAAAGCGUGGGGAGCAAACAGGAUUUGAUACCCCAGUAGUCCCUGUCUCUUAUAC
rnacentral:rRNA from 1 species